rnacentral:rRNA from 1 species
UCGAGCAGGUACGAAAGUAGGUCUUAGUGAUCCGGUGGUUCUGUAUGGAAGGGCCAUCGCUCAACGGAUAAAAGGUACUCCGGGGAUAACAGGCUGAUACCGCCCAAGAGUUCAUAUCGACGGCGGUGUUUGGCACCUCGAUGUCGGCUCAUCACAUCCUGGGGCUGAAGCCGGUCCCAAGGGUAUGGCUGUUCGCCAUUUAAAGUGGUACGCGAGCUGGGUUUAGAACGUCGUGAGACAGUUCGGUCCCUAUCUGCCGUGGACGUUUGAGAUUUGAGAGGGGCUGCUCCUAGUACGAGAGGACCGGAGUGGACGAACCUCUGGUGUUCCGGUUGUCACGCCAGUGGCAUUGCCGGGUAGCUAUGUUCGGAAAAGAUAACCGCUGAAAGCAUCUAAGCGGGAAACUUGCCUC